UCUUACAUAAACUCAGGACCACUGUAAAGA
rnacentral:piRNA from 1 species